rnacentral:rRNA from 1 species
GACAGAGGUCCCAAGCGUUAGGCGGAAUCACUGGGCUUAAAGCGUGUGUAGGCGGAUCCGUAAGUACCUUGUGAAAUCCCACGGCUCAACCGUGGAACUGCUGGGUAUACUGCGGGUCUUGAGCCACCUAGGGGCGAGCGGAACAAAUGGUGGAGCGGUGAAAUGCGUAGAUAUCAUUUGGAACGCCAAUGGUGAAAACAGGUAACUGGGGUUGUGCUGACACUGAGACACGAAAGCCAGGGGAGCAAGCGGG